rnacentral:sRNA from 1 species
GGAGGAUCAUGAGCCCAGAAAUUCAAGACCGGCCUGGGCAACAUAGGGAGACUGUCUCAAAGACAAAGGGUAUUUCUCACAACCUCUGUUUGUGAAGGAAAAAGAAAAGAUAGAGGUUUUUUGGGUUUUCGAAGGCAAGAAAUAAGUUCCAGUGUUUCCAUCCUUUUUGAGACCGUGGGGCCAAGAAUGUGAGCAGUGUCUCUGGCCUGGCCUAUUUGGACUCUGGGAUGUGCUUGGGCCCCAGUUGACUGACCAGGUGCAUUAUGCUUUCCCAGGUCAGCAGAUCCGGAAGCUCAUCAAAGAUGGGCUGAUCAUCCGCAAGCCUGUGACGGUCCAUUCCCGGGCUCGAUGCCGGAAAAACACCUUGGCCCGCCGGAAGGGCAGGCACAUGGGCAUAGGUAAGUGUGGUCAUCUUCUCCUUAAGAAAUGAUAGGUGCUGGCGUCUAUGCUGAAAUAUAUUCAGGAUCUAAGCACUCUGUCUCAUCUUGAGCCCGUUUCUUACUCCUUGAUAUUUGAUGUGUUUUCUGCCUGUGUGCAAAUCAGAAAGUUGGUGCUGGUAUUGGAAUUGAGAGUAUCCCUGGUAGGAGGUCACAUUUACUAAGUCCCUACCUACACUAUGCCAAGGAUUCUGUACUUUCUAGUUUCAGAAUGAUCGAAGGAAGCUCCUUACAACGUGCUGUGUUGCCUUGGUGCACUGCCUGUUACACCCACAUUCUGCAUGAAGUGAAUGGGGAAUUAUUGCUGUAUUUGUGCUUCCUUUAAAAUUGAGUAAACGAAAGAACUUAUGUAGUUGGGAUCAUCAUCUGGAAAAUGGAAGUAAUGCUACUUAAAAUGAGGUUGUGAGGAUUAAAUGAGUUAAGGACCCUGACUUGAAACUAUAUUCACUUGGUGUACUUAUACACAGUGGGCCUGGAUAGUGGCCCGUUCCUAACUCAUCUUCUCCACAGGUAAGCGGAAGGGUACAGCCAAUGCCCGAAUGCCAGAGAAGGUCACAUGGAUGAGGAGAAUGAGGAUUUUGCGCCGGCUGCUCAGAAGAUACCGUGAAUCUAAGAAGAUCGAUCGCCACAUGUAUCACAGCCUGUACCUGAAGGUGAAGGGGAAUGUGUUCAAAAACAAGCGGAUUCUCAUGGAACACAUCCACAAGCUGAAGGCAGACAAGGCCCGCAAGAAGCUCCUGGCUGACCAGGCUGAGGCCCGCAGGUCUAAGACCAAGGAAGCACGCAAGCGCCGUGAAGAGCGCCUCCAGGCCAAGAAGGAGGAGAUCAUCAAGACUUUAUCCAAGGAGGAAGAGACCAAGAAAUAA